rnacentral:rRNA from 1 species
AUUGAACGCUGGCGGCAGGCCUAACACAUGCAAGUCGAACGGUAGCACAGAGAGCUUGCUCUCGGGUGACGAGUGGCGGACGGGUGAGUAAUGUCUGGGAAACUGCCUGAUGGAGGGGGAUAACUACUGGAAACGGUAGCUAAUACCGCAUAAUGUCGCAAGACCAAAGAGGGGGACCUUCGGGCCUCUUGCCAUCAGAUGUGCCCAGAUGGGAUUAGCUAGUAGGUGGGGUAACGGCUCACCUAGGCGACGAUCCCUAGCUGGUCUGAGAGGAUGACCAGCCACACUGGAACUGAGACACGGUCCAGACUCCUACGGGAGGCAGCAGUGGGGAAUAUUGCACAAUGGGCGCAAGCCUGAUGCAGCCAUGCCGCGUGUAUGAAGAAGGCCUUCGGGUUGUAAAGUACUUUCAGCGGGGAGGAAGGUGUUGUGGUUAAUAACCACAGCAAUUGACGUUACCCGCAGAAGAAGCACCGGCUAACUCCGUGCCAGCAGCCGCGGUAAUACGGAGGGUGCAAGCGUUAAUCGGAAUUACUGGGCGUAAAGCGCACGCAGGCGGUCUGUCAAGUCGGAUGUGAAAUCCCCGGGCUCAACCUGGGAACUGCAUUCGAAACUGGCAGGCUGGAGUCUUGUAGAGGGGGGUAGAAUUCCAGGUGUAGCGGUGAAAUGCGUAGAGAUCUGGAGGAAUACCGGUGGCGAAGGCGGCCCCCUGGACAAAGACUGACGCUCAGGUGCGAAAGCGUGGGGAGCAAACAGGAUUAGAUACCCUGGUAGUCCACGCCGUAAACGAUGUCGAUUUGGAGGUUGUGCCCUUGAGGCGUGGCUUCCGGAGCUAACGCGUUAAAUCGACCGCCUGGGGAGUACGGCCGCAAGGUUAAAACUCAAAUGAAUUGACGGGGGCCCGCACAAGCGGUGGAGCAUGUGGUUUAAUUCGAUGCAACGCGAAGAACCUUACCUGGUCUUGACAUCCACAGAACUUUCCAGAGAUGGAUUGGUGCCUUCGGGAACUGUGAGACAGGUGCUGCAUGGCUGUCGUCAGCUCGUGUUGUGAAAUGUUGGGUUAAGUCCCGCAACGAGCGCAACCCUUAUCCUUUGUUGCCAGCGGUCCGGCCGGGAACUCAAAGGAGACUGCCAGUGAUAAACUGGAGGAAGGUGGGGAUGACGUCAAGUCAUCAUGGCCCUUACGACCAGGGCUACACACGUGCUACAAUGGCGCAUACAAAGAGAAGCGACCUCGCGAGAGCAAGCGGACCUCAUAAAGUGCGUCGUAGUCCGGAUUGGAGUCUGCAACUCGACUCCAUGAAGUCGGAAUCGCUAGUAAUCGUAGAUCAGAAUGCUACGGUGAAUACGUUCCCGGGCCUUGUACACACCGCCCGUCACACCAUGGGAGUGGGUUGCAAAAGAAGUAGGUAGCUUAACCUUCGGGAGGGCGCUUACCACUUUGUGAUUCAUGACUGGGGUG